UACGUAGGGACCGAGCGUUGCCCGGAAUCAUUGGGCGUAAAGAGCGCGUAGGCGGCUAUUUAAGUCCUGCGUGAAAUCCUGCGGCUCAACCGCAGACGGGCGUGGGAAACUGGAUGGCUAGAGUGCGGGAGAGGAGAGUGGAAUUCCCGGUGUAGCGGUGAAAUGCGCAGAUAUCGGGAAGAACAUCGGUGGCGAAAGCGCUCUACUGGGCCGGAACUGACACUCAGGGACGAAAGCUAGGGGAGCGAAUGGG
rnacentral:rRNA from 1 species